rnacentral:rRNA from 1 species
UCCUAAAAGAGACCUAAAAACUAGUCCAUAGCCUAUGGGAGAAUGGGUGUCUUCUCACAAAAGGAUCGCAAGACGAAGUCUAGACGACAAUUUAUCAAAAAGACAAGUCUCCAAAAAUGUUAAUAUUGUAUAGAAGGUUAAGGAAGUUGGUGAUUUGAUGGUAAUGGGGCCAGUUACUAGAGUUUCAAUAAAUAGUGGUUGUAAUUAUGAUUGUCGCAAGGUAGCGAAAAUUUUUGUCUGGUAAGUUUCAAUCUACAUGAAGGGCUCAACAAUAUGAUCAUGUUGUCUAAGA